UACAGAUACCGCCCUGAGCCCACCCGGUCUCGUCUGAUCUCGGGAGCUGAGCCGGGUCGGGCCUGGUUCGUACUGGGAUGGGGGACAAUCUCUCAAGCUAAGUCAGGAA
rnacentral:rRNA from 1 species